AUGUUUUAGUUGUGCUGAGAUUAAUAUGAUGUGAAAGUUGUGCUGACACUAAACUGCAGACAUGGAAAACUCUGUUUUCUUCUUCUCUGGUUUAGUCUAUUGACUGUAGCAUAAUAAUUUUCACCUUUCAAACAGUGAUACUGAACGUAUGGCUGGCGGCCCACACGUGGCCCUCCACAGGGUGCUGAGUGGCCUGCCGACCUUUCCUAAUUCAAAGAGAGGGGACCCUGAUUAAUCCACAGCUGUCAUUCCUAACCAAUAGUGGUGCGGCAGCAGGACAGAGAGCAGCAGCUCUCUGUCCUGGCAAAAGAGUGUUCCUGUCUUUGUUUUCCUGUUUUUCUUGUUCUUUUUCACAAAAAACCUCAUACAGUUGUGAGCGCCUGUUUAAAAUCAACAGAAGAAAUUCCACAAACUUUUCAUACGUGAAAGAGCUGUUAGGUCUAAACUCACAGAACUCGUUGUCUCAGAGACCGAUCCUUGUAAACAAAGCAAAACCACAGCGCUUUUAUCUUUUACUUGCCACAAGGGAAGCCCGGCCAGGAUCUUGGAGAGAGUCAUUCACUCCUCACCUAAGCUCACCCAACUCCAAACCUCAAUCCCCUUACAGCUCCUUUUAUUUGGGUGAAAACAGUCAUGCAGUCAAGGCAAGCAUAUGUGCGCAACGUCAGCGUCUGUGUGUGUGUGUGUGUGUGUGUGAGACAUUUCCUGACACCAUAUAUGGCAUGACCCUUCACAAGAUCUCCAGUCGCUCCAUACAGGGCAUGACCUUUUAACGAAUCAACAUGUGCACUAAGCAUGUAAAAAGCAGAACUGAGCAGUCUUGUACCUUCGAAGAACAAAACCUUGUAGUUUCUAAAUGUGCAAUGGAAAACUAUUGCAACGAGGCUGCUUGCAUCUCAUAUAUGUACAGAAGCUACGACCUAAUAAGGAAAAUCAUUUUAUCAACACACAUGCAAGCAAUGGUCAUGUGACUUUGCACAAAUACACUCUAAAAAAUAUUCGUUGUGUUUGUCGGUAGAACUUAACAAAAAACCACUUUUCUGCUAAAAAAAGUAAGUUGUCUACAUGUACACGUUUCAGUGAGUUGACUAAUCAAUGUUAAAAGUCAGUGCAACACAAAAAUUAAAAAACAGCACCUUAACUUAAAUGUUUGAGUAUAUUGAAUAAAAUACUUUUGUCAUCAAUCAACAACAGAAAAUAUUAAGUUUGUGUAACAUGUAAAAAUGAGUUUCAACAUCCUUCUUGUUUGAAUUGAGACCAUUCAGACAGCAGAGGGCAACCCCGUAGCAACAGUUUCUGGAUUCUUGUGGCCUCGUGGGAGAAGAGGUGUGUUUGCCCUAGACUGUGUUCGGUGAGUUAAGAACCGAAAACACACUCCUCACUCAUUGGAUGACUUCAACCCUGACCUGAUACAGAGGUGUGUCAGUCAUUUGAAUGCAGGAGAUGAUCCUCUUGAGAGUUCGGUGGAAAAGAAGAGAGAGGUUGCAAUCCGUUGCCUGAAGGUGUAUCUGAAAGAGAAGGAAGAGGAUCUCUUCAGAGAACAGCUGGAUGGUGAACAACAGUUCCCAGAAGAAGUGGUAAAGAUUGUAGUCACCAGACUUGCAGCAGUGUCUCUCCCAGAUGUCGCUAAAAUUGUGAUUGAAGGAACAGCAGUCCUGGAAGACCUUGAUGUGCCCAGAGCGUGUGCCUUAAUGAUGGGGCUUAUAUACGCUCUCAAUCUGAGCUACCCCAAACAAGUAAAGAACACUCUAGAGGUAUUUCUGGAACUUGAUGGGCUUAAAGCCAGUCCACGGGUAAUGUCUCUUAAGUGCAAACUUCUGUCGUGAAACGAAUGUGAAUUGGACUGUA